rnacentral:lncRNA from 1 species
AAACAUGCAUGCCAGGCAGUUCAAGCCUGCGAAGACUGCUGGUUAUACAGGAUAUCUGGGUAUAAAUAAACCAACACAUUUGUAUACAAGAUUAAUCUGAAGAGGUGUGUUUUCCUCAUGAAGUCUAGAAAAAGGAAAUUUUGGAGAAUAAGAAGGUGUCAGAAAAUUUCUAGGACUCCACAGAGGACUAAUAAUAGCAAACACGGACAUUUGAGUUUAUCGUGUACCUGGUACUCACUCAAGAUUUUAAUUUGCCAAGGUCUCAAACCUAGCAAGCAGAAGAUCCAAUAUUUGAACCCAGUAGUCAGCCUUCAGAGUCUUUGCGAUUAAUUACUGCAUGAGAUUGACUCCAAAAUAUAGAAUACUAGAGUGAAAGAAAAGAAACAAGUUACAAUCAUUUGCUGACAUUUUCUCAGGAUUAUCCAACUUUCUUUGGCCUAACUGGAAAGAAUUCUACAGUGAAAGGAGAAUUUUAAGAGAUGACUGCAGUAAUUAAAUGAAGCUUCAAUCCUUAACACAAACUUAUACAAGAAUAUAAACAACAUAUUGCUAUGUAAGGAAAGAAAAAACUGUUUUCAUCUGAACCAACGUAGCAAGAAGAUCCAGAAAACAAUGAACAAAAUUAUGCUAAAAAUAUUUUUCUGGCCUCCAAGAUACAAUUUUACUACAUAUACUUUGGCUUUUCAUAAAGUGAGCCAUUGAGAGAGAAAAUACCAGCUGCUUCUAAAACUCUAGGAUCCAGUCCAUGAAAGGCUAGAAAUGAUCUGUUUUCUAGCAGUACAUACAUUUUGUUGGUGUUAACAGUUAAAUAACUCAUGGGAAGCUGCAGGCCUCAAUUACAAUAUAUCAUCAAAAUUUAGAGACAAGAUCCAGAAUUGCCACUAGGUCUGCGAUUUGGAAGAACUUAUAUAAAUGGUAAAAUUUGUCCCCUGUGGACACCAACCGAAAGAUGAUGUGUAAAUUUGAUUCUGAAAACUUGAAUGUUUCCUAAAUUUUAGCACAGACUCUAUGACUCAUGUAACAAAUAUCAGACACAUGGUUUUGAGAUGGCGGCAUCUUUUGUUUAAUGACUUUAGAUGGAUUUGACCAUUUGGCUAUUCCCUUUCUGGUUGCAGACAUUUUAUUAGGCCCAAUUUGAAAAGACAGGCUUUCUUUUCUGCAAACAAAUUCAUAUGAAACUGUAUGUCACACUGACUUAGACUUCGUGCUAAAGUGCUGCUGUGUUUCUGUAAAUGUUCAGAAUAAAAUCUUUGCCUUUUAUAUUAUUUCUUUGGAUGUAGUGGUAAUCUCACAUCAAUUUUAAAAUUUCUAUUUGUUUCUGUUUUAUAACAGCAGAUUACAAAUACGUAUGCUCUGAACUACACCAAAAUCUCUUUAGUUACACAGCUUAAGCAAGAUGAUAUUCUGAUACAGAUUAGCUACCAAAGUGAAGUGGCUGUUCAUGACUCAUUUUUCCAGUCUUAGCAAAUGGAAAGUAUUACAUUCUUUUCAAAACAUCAAAGUCAAAGGCAUCUUUUAACACCCCAU